rnacentral:rRNA from 1 species
AUCGAACGCUGGCGGCAGGCUUAACACAUGCAAGUCGAGCGGGGAAAGGUAGCUUGCUACCUGACCUAGCGGCGGACGGGUGAGUGAUGCCUAGGAAUCUGCCUAUUAGUGGGGGACAACGUUCCGAAAGGAACGCUAAUACCGCAUACGUCCUACGGGGGAAAGCAGGGGAUCUUCGGACCUUGCGCUAAUAGAUGAGCCUAAGUCGGAUUAGCUAGUUGGUGGGGUAAAGGCCUACCAAGGCGACGAUCUGUAGCGGGUCUGAGAGGAUGAUCCGCCACACUGGGACUGAGACACGGCCCAGACUCCUACGGGAGGCAGCAGUGGGGAAUAUUGGACAAUGGGCGCAAGCCUGAUCCAGCCAUGCCGCGUGUGUGAAGAAGGCCUUUUGGUUGUAAAGCACUUUAAGCGAGGAGGAGGCUCCUUUAGUUAAUACCUAAAGAGAGUGGACGUUACUCGCAGAAUAAGCACCGGCUAACUCUGUGCCAGCCGCCGCCGUAA